rnacentral:misc_RNA from 1 species
GAUGAAGAACGCAGCGAAAUGCGAUAAGUAAUGUGAAUUGCAGAAUUCAGUGAAUCAUCGAAUCUUUGAACACACAUUGCGCCCGCCAGUAUUCUGGCGGGCAUGCCUGUUCGAGCGUCAUUACAACCCUCAGGCCCCCGGGCCUGGCGUUGGGGAUCGGCGGAAGCCCCCUGUGGGCACACGCCGUCCCUCAAAUACAGUGGCGGUCCCGCCGCAGCUUCCAUUGCGUAGUAGCUAACACCUCGCAACUGGAGAGCGGCGCGGCCAUGCCGUAAAACACCCAACUUCUGAAUGUUGACCUCGAAUCAGGUAGGAAUACCCGCUGAACUUAAGCAUAUCAAUAAGCGGAGGA